CGAGGGAUAGAGCAGUAGGUAGCUCGUCGGGCUCAUAACCCGAAGAUUCAUUUUCAGUCUUCGUUUUUCUUCUA
rnacentral:tRNA from 1 species